rnacentral:misc_RNA from 1 species
AUUCGUAUAAAGAUGAGUAGUUAAUGAUUUGUAUCUCAGAGAUGUGCUGGUUGGUGUAAAGUACAACAAACAUUAGUGAACGCUACUUUAUGCACAACUGUAUAGUCAAUUUAAAGUGAUAAGCGUCUUAAUUACGCUUAUAACUAGGGUGGUACCGCGAUAACGUUCGUCCCUUUU